UACGGGGGGGGCAAGCGUUGUUCGGAAUUACUGGGCGUAAAGGGCUCGUAGGCGGCCAACUAAGUCAGACGUGAAAUCCCUCGGCUUAACCGGGGAACUGCGUCUGAUACUGGAUGGCUCGAGUUUGGGAGAGGGAUGCGGAAUUCCAGGUGUAGCGGUGAAAUGCGUAGAUAUCGUGAGGAACACCAGAGGCGAAGGCGGCUACCUGGACAAUUGCUGACGCUCAGGCACGAAAGCGUGGGGAGCAAAAGGG
rnacentral:rRNA from 1 species